rnacentral:rRNA from 1 species
AGGCCUAACACAUGCAAGUCGAGCGGUAACAGAGAGUAGCUUGCUACUUUGCUGACGAGCGGCGGACGGGUGAGUAAUGCUUGGGAACAUGCCUUGAGGUGGGGGACAACAGUUGGAAACGACUGCUAAUACCGCAUAAUGUCUACGGACCAAAGGGGGCUUCGGCUCUCGCCUUUAGAUUGGCCCAAGUGGGAUUAGCUAGUUGGUGAGGUAAUGGCUCACCAAGGCGACGAUCCCUAGCUGGUUUGAGAGGAUGAUCAGCCACACUGGGACUGAGACACGGCCCAGACUCCUACGGGAGGCAGCAGUGGGGAAUAUUGCACAAUGGGCGCAAGCCUGAUGCAGCCAUGCCGCGUGUGUGAAGAAGGCCUUCGGGUUGUAAAGCACUUUCAGUCAGGAGGAAAGGUUAGUAGUUAAUACCUGCUAGCUGUGACGUUACUGACAGAAGAAGCACCGGCUAACUCCGUGCCAGCAGCCGCGGUAAUACGGAGGGUGCGAGCGUUAAUCGGAAUUACUGGCGUAAAGCGUACGCAGGCGGUUUGUUAAGCGAGAUGUGAAAGCCCCGGGCUCAACCUGGGAACUGCAUUUCGAACUGCAAACUAGAGUGUGAUAGAGGGUGGUAGAAUUUCAGGUGUAGCGGUGAAAUGCGUAGAGAUCUGAAGGAAUACCGAUGGCGAAGCAGCACCUGGUCAACACUGACGCUCAUGUAGCAAAGCGUGGGGAGCAAACGGGAUUAGAUCC